GUCUACAGCCAUGCCACCCUGAAUGUGCCCGAUCUUGUCUGAUUGCAGAAGCUAAGCAGGGUCAGGCAUAGUUAGUACUUGGAUGGGAGACCACGUAGGAAUACCAGAUGCUAUAGGCA
rnacentral:rRNA from 1 species